rnacentral:rRNA from 1 species
CCUACGGGUGGCAGCAGUGAGGAAUAUUGGUCAAUGGACGAGAGUCUGAACCAGCCAAGUAGCGUGAAGGAUGACUGCCCUAUGGGUUGUAAACUUCUUUUAUAUGGGAAUAAAACGAGGCACGCAUGCCCUCUUGCAUGUACUUUAUGAAUAAGGAUCGGCUAACUCCGUGCCAGCAGCCGCGGUAAUACGGAGGAUCCGAGCGUUAUCCGGAUUUAUUGGGUUUAAAGGGAGCGUAGGUGGAUUGUUAAGUCAGUUGUGAAAGUUUGCGGCUCAACCGUAAAAUUGCAGUUGAUACUGGCAGUCUUGAGUACAGUAGAGGUGGGCGGAAUUCGUGGUGUAGCGGUGAAAUGCUUAGAUAUCACGAAGAACUCCGAUUGCGAAGGCAGCUUACUAAACUGUAACUGACACUGAUGCUCGAAAGUGUGGGUAUCAAACAGGAUUAGAUACCCGGGUAGUC